CUUUUGUUGGGUUCAGAGUGGAAAGAGAAUGUCCUUUAAAUCAGACAGACCUGGGUUGAAGCCCUGGGUGCAACACUUCUACAUCUUGGGCAAGUCACUUCAUGUGUCUGGGUUUCAGUUUCCUCAUGCAUAAAAUGGGAAUAAUACGAUCUAUCUUAAGGAUGUGAAGAUUUGAUCUCAAAUGGGCAAAAUGGCUAGCGUGUGCCUGAGCAGAGUGCGCAGUGGAUAAACAGUAACUAUUUUCCUUGGUUUUAUGAAACAGAAGAAGCCUGGGUUUUUGAUGUGUAAAACAUAAUGCCUCUUUAGGUGCAGUUUACAGGUGAUGAGCAAAAGCAAAGCCACAUCAGGACAAGUCUGGGGACUUUGGAGAGUGAGAUCCCCAGUCUACUGGUUCCUGCCCGGGGCGGCAAUGAGUGGGAUGGACACACUUGGCUGGCCAUCAUUAGUUCUCCCUUGUGCCUUUCCUACAGCCGAGGGAUUGUGAAUCAAUCAACACAGUUAUUCAAUAAAGCAGCCUCACUGCACGUGCUCAAAGCACUAAACAACUAAAUCCAGUUUACCUGGAAUACAAAGACAUGUUACAUCUCCCCAGAUGAGAAGGAAAGCCCUUUAAACGCAGAGAUCAUUUUUAAAUAUAUCUGUUGGUCCAAAUUGGUUGGAGUCAGUGGAACCACUGAUACCUUGAGCAACAUAAAGGGAAUCCAUGUGGCCAAGGACCCUCUUCUCUCUCCUCCUCCUCGGCCUCCAACAAGGACUAGGCUGCUCCCAGCUCUGAGCCUCCUGCCCUUGAAGAGAUGAACAGCCAGUGUUCAAGAGCGGUGAUAACUUGCACCCAGAGGCACCUCCACAAAUGGAGAAGGUCCUUGGUGCUCAUCGAAUUAUCAAAGAAGCUUGUGAACCUUGGUCUAAUCCCACUCUGUCAUUUGGCAGCUUUAUGCAUGUUAAAGCUAAUAGAACUCAGACUUUUAGUGUACGUUUUUAUUUACAAAAGGAAAACGGAGGUCCUGGGAGGAGACAGAUCUGUCCAGUGGGCAAGUAGAAGUGGCAGAGCUAGGAAAAGAAGCUGGUUUCCUAACUCCUGUGGGGAGUCUCUUUGCUCCAUGUCUCUAUCAUGCUGCAUCGAUCUGUUUACAAAUCACCACAUGUCUAGCUAAUUAAAUCAGUCAUACAUAAGGAGUUAAUUUUCAAUAAAUGAUCAGUGAUUUUUACA
rnacentral:lncRNA from 1 species